ACAGGACCACGUGCCUGGGAGAUUCCGACAGGCUGUCCUUCCGCCCCCCACCGAGACGGCAUGCGGGCGCGUGUUUCCACGGAUCUAGUCCGUCUUAUCUGCACCAAACUGCCAUUCCAGUCACUCACUGGGAUCAUUAAACCACCACUUGCAGUUUUCCAGGGCUUUCUUUGUUCUACUAGGAAGUAUAUGCCCCCAAAUUAUGAAAUUCCAUUUCAAACAGAAUUAACAGAAUUUAAAAAAUAAAAAUGUUAAAGCUC
rnacentral:lncRNA from 1 species